AUGGAGGCGCUCAAGAAGCAGGCCAGCAAGCUCCGGGAGCACGUCGCCAAGCAGCAGCAGGCGGUUCGCAAGACGUUCAGCGCACGCCAUAAUCAAGACACUUCGCUUGUUGAUGAAGCUGAACUUGAGUGCCACCAGAAUCUCCAGAAGCUUUAUAAUACCACAAGAGCAGCUAAACAUUUCCAACGAACCAUUGUACGAGGACUGGAGGGUUUUGUUGCUGUUAGCACCAAACAGAUGGAGAUAGUGAAAAAGCUAGCUGAGGAUUGUUGCAAAUAUGGAAACAACAAUCAAAAUCUUGGUUUUGUUCUUGGAAAGGCUUCAGUUGAGUUUGGUAAAUCCCACAGCCAAAUGGAGAUAGAGCGGGAGAAACUUCUUAGAGUUCUUGGAGAGCAGGUUUUUGAGCCUCUUCGAGAAAUGAUAAUGAGUGCUCCUCUUGAAGAUGCUCGCUUGUUAACUUAUCGCUAUCAACGGAUCAGACAAGAUAUGGAGUCUCAGAUAGCUGAUGUGGUUAGAAGGCAACUGAAGUCCAAGGAGAGUAGUGGUAAUACAGAUUCGGUGAAACUGCAACAUGCAGAGUCGAAAUUAUCAGAGCUCCGAACUACGCUGGCAGCAUUAGGAAAAGAAGCAACGGCAGCUAUGGAGGCUGUAGAGGCUCAGCAGCAACAGAUUACCUUUGACCGUCUUCUUGCAAUGGUUGAUGCCGAGAGAACUUACCAUCAGAACGUUGCUGAUAUUCUGAACAAACUUCAUGAUGAGAUACUCAAUGCAAGACCCCAUGAAGAGUCAGAUAACAAUGAUGAUGUGCCAUCAUCAGAUCCAUCAUCGGAGCCUAAAGUAUCACCGACACAUGUGCACUCAAAUAGCAUAUCAGAAGAUCCAGCAUUAACUGAAACUAGCGAGCCUACAAGGAAUGGCCAGGAAGUGCAUUAUGUUGGGGAGGUAAUCCAUCCGUUUGAUGGUCAGGCUGAUGGUGAGCUCAGUAUCUCCGUGGGCGAUUUUGUUGUGGUCCGCCAGGUGUCUCCAAACGGGUGGUCGGAAGGGGAAUGCAAAGGAAAGGCAGGCUGGUUCCCAUCUGCGUACGUAGAGCAGAGGGACAAGGCCCCGGCAAGCAAGGUGAUAGAGCCUGGACGUCUGACUGCGUGA
rnacentral:rRNA from 1 species